rnacentral:lncRNA from 1 species
GACAAGUUAAAAUUCAGUGUGCCGGCAGGAUCUGAUGUCACAACCCUGCAGUGCCAGGCACUGAACAGGAGGAUCCCAAGUUCAAGGCCUGACCAGACAACUUAGUUCAAACCUGUCUCAAAAUAAAAUGGAUGCUGCUCAAAAAAAUGCAAACCACCACACAGCUACAUUGUGCCGUGCAGCUGGACAUGUGAUGUGUUCUGCUGGCUCUCAGAUGACUUCAAGUCCUUCUUCGGCAUUUAAUUGUAACCAUAUGGAUUCAGGUUCAAAAUGAGG